UACGUAGGGUGCGAGCGUUUAAUCGGAAUUACUGGGCGUAAGCGUGCGCAGGCGGCUUCGCAAGUCAGACGUGAAAUCCCCGGGCUUAACCUGGGAAUGGCGUUUGAAACUACGGAGCUGGAGUGUGGCAGAGGGAGGUAGAAUUCCACGUGUAGCGGUGAAAUGCGUAGAUAUGUGGAGGAAUACCGAUGGCGAAGGCAGCCUCCUGGGCCAACACUGACGCUGAGGAGCGAAAGCGUGGGGAGCGAACAGG
rnacentral:rRNA from 1 species